rnacentral:rRNA from 1 species
UGAGCAAUCUGCCCUUCUCAUCGGAAUAAGCGUUGGAAACGACGUCUAAUGCCGAAUACGACCUCCUUUCGCAUGAUCGGAGGUGGAAAGCUCCGGCGGAGAAGGAUGAGCUCGCGGCCUAUCAGCUAGUUGGUGUGGGUAAUGGCCCACCAAGGCGACGACGGGUAGCCGGCCUGAGAGGGUGACCGGCCACACUGGGACUGGGACACGGCCCAGACUCCUACGGGAGGCAGCAGG